AACGAACGCUGGCGGAAUGCUUUACACAUGCAAGUCGAACGGCAGCACGGACUUCGGUCUGGUGGCGAGUGGCGAACGGGUGAGUAAUACAUCGGAACGUGCCCAGUCGUGGGGGAUAACGUAGCGAAAGCUACGCUAAUACCGCAUACGAUCUAAGGAUGAAAGCGGGGGAUCGCAAGACCUCGCGCGAUUGGAGCGGCCGAUGGCAGAUUAGGUAGUUGGUGGGGUAAAGGCUCACCAAGCCGACGAUCUGUAGCUGGUCUGAGAGGACGACCAGCCACACUGGGACUGAGACACGGCCCAGACUCCUACGGGAGGCAGCAGUGGGGAAUUUUGGACAAUGGGCGCAAGCCUGAUCCAGCCAUUCCGCGUGCAGGAUGAAGGCCCUCGGGUUGUAAACUGCUUUUGUACGGAACGAAAAGGCUCUGGUUAAUACCUGGGGCUCAUGACGGUACCGUAAGAAUAAGCACCGGCUAACUACGUGCCAGCAGCCGCGGUAA
rnacentral:rRNA from 1 species